GAGACACUGCCCAGACACCUACGGGUGGCUGCAGUCGAGAAUCUUCGGGCAAUGGGCGCAAGCCUGACCGAGCGACGCCGCGUGCGGGAUGAAGGCCUUCGGGUUGUAAACCGCUGUCAGAGGGGAUGAAAGGUCAUGGGGUACUCUCCAUGAUUUGACAGAUCCUCAGAGGAAGUACGGGCUAAGUUCGUGCCAGCAGCCGCGGUAAGACGAACCGUACGAACGUUAUUCGGAAUCACUGGGCUUAAAGGGUGCGUAGGCGGUGCGGUAAGUUGGGUGUGAAAUCCCUCGGCUCAACCGAGGAAUUGCGCCCAAAACUACCGUGCUAGAGGGAGACAGAGGUGAGUGGAACUUAGGGUGGAGCGGUGAAAUGCGUUGAUAUCCUAAGGAACACCAGUGGCGAAAGCGACUCACUGGGUCUCUUCUGACGCUGAGGCACGAAAGCUAGGGGAGCAAACGGGAUUAGAUACCCCGGUAGUCCUAGCUGUAAACGAUGAGCACUGGGUUGGAGGGCCCUCCAUAGCCUUCCAGCCGAAGCGAAAGUAUUUAG
rnacentral:rRNA from 1 species